rnacentral:misc_RNA from 1 species
GAUGAAGAACGUAGCGAAAUGCGAUAAGUAAUGUGAAUUGCAGAAUUCAGUGAAUCAUCGAAUCUUUGAACGCACAUUGCGCCCCUUGGUAUUCCGGGGGGCAUGCCCGUUCGAGCGUCAUUACACCACUCAAGCCUGGCUUGGUAUUGGGCAACGCGGUCCGCCGCGUGCCUCAAAUCGACCGGCUGGGUCUUCUGUCCCCUAAGCGUUGUGGAAACUAUUCGCUAAAGGGUGUUCGGGAGGCUACGCCGUAAAACAACCCCAUUUCUAAGGUUGACCUCGGAUCAGGUAGGGAUACCCGCUGAACUUAAGCAUAUCAAUAAGCGGAGGA